rnacentral:lncRNA from 1 species
ACUCCUCCAAGCGCCGCCAUCCUAUUCCCCAAACAUUAAAAAUUCUCUCAACUAAUCCUGAGUUAAUCUUAUUUAUUUUUCAAACAAGAUAAGUUCUAAAACUCUUCAAUUUGGUGGUAGUUUUGAUAUCAUGGGUAUGAUUACGUGGUGUUAUUUCUACUCUUAUUUUAUCCAUAGCCCUUUUGUACUGCAUCUUGCGCAUAAAAAUUCUUAUGCAUCAUUAGUAGUUGUCGUUGUGCUCGUGUUGUUAGUUGUUGAAUUGAUUAGUUAUUGCUUCAUUAAGUUGCCUUAGGGGAUAUCGACGGGGCUUUACUAAUUUGAGGGUAUGUAGUUCAAGUUAAAGUGUGGGGUGGGGCGAGUUCUUUGUACUUUCUAUAUAUACAAUUGGGCUUCGAUUCAUGAAUGUUGUUUUAGUCUAAAUACAUAGAUAGAGGAUGUAUCUACCAAAACAAAGGUUACUUGCUCUUUUUGUGCUUGAUUAUGUUAAUUAUUACAUGCAACAUCGAGAUUGAUGUCGUAUCGCAAAGGGAAGUCUGAGUACCUACUGUGAUAAUUCUGAAAUGCUACGCACAUAAUCGAGCUUGCACUAUCUUGUUCACCUUACUAAUUAGUAACUGAAUUACAUAAUGGUAUGUUCAAAGUGGAUUGAUCUUAACCGAAUUGUUGAACUAGACAUUCUUUGACCAUAUACUAUGUGGCCUAUGAUUGAGUAAUUGGUUAGCAUAGAUUAGUUGUUGUUAAGUUAGUUGACGCCCUUUUAACUGUGACAUUUUCUGUUAUGCACUUUCUACUAUCGUUAGAAUUAAGUAUGGAACUAUUGAAAUACAGUCUAGGUACACUUGCACAAUGUAGUAAAAUUGGAGUACUCUUAUUAACCUAUCCUGUAAUAUGAGUAGCAUCGAUAACAACAAAGUGUUAGGUGGCGUUUUCACUAGUCCAAAUGUAGUGAAGUUAGCAUGCUCUAAGCCAUAUUGAAAUGUCUUUGUUGCCUAUUUUAAAUCUCAGGAAUUAUGAAUCGAAGGAAACUAGGACUAAAUGGAAAAUCAAGGACUUCAAAGUCAGCGAGGAAAUGCAGCAGACCAGCUGCGAGGCAAAUUAAUAGAGUGCCCCAUGCUCCUCCAGUCCUACAUGGUCAAACACGUAGAUUUGGGUUUAAGGAAGUUAGGCAAGACGGAAAGCAAUGGCACUCCAAACACCUCGACACCAAAUACAUACCUAAGAUGUUUAUUGAUAGUGUAAGUCUAUAGAGAAAAUGACCAAGUAUGGUAAGUCAUCUGGAGCAGCUGAACAUAGUUUUCAUUUUCCACUAGCUGCGUGAAUGCAAUUUGCAUCUUGUGCAUGAGUUUUAUGCAAAUUAGGACCCAAGGGAUGUACAUCAUGAGGUGAAAGUUCAUGGUAAAAUCGUCAUAUUUACUUUAGAGGACAUCAAUGACUUGUUGGGAAUACCUGAGGCAGAUGUACAUUAGUUAAAAUAGUUGAUUAUCACUCUGAAUUAUGCUUACAAUCUACAUCUGUUGUGUGGUACUCAUUCAUUAGCCCGAUAGACUAGACAAAAGGGCACAGGUCUUCAUUCCUCAUUACCAUAUGCAUAGAUGAACAAGGAAGCUCGCAUAUGGGGAUGAAUUAUGCACUAUUUCCUAAUUCAAGGCAAGCAUAUGACUGAGGUUACACAUAAACGGGUAUGUUUGACUUACGCUUCAUAGUGUAAUGAUGUUGCAAUGAAUGUAAUCCAUGUCAUAUUUUCUGCCAUAAAAAAGGCACGCUUCAUUGAGAGAUACUGAUAUGGAUUUGGAGGCUUAUUGACUAAGUUCAUAAGGUGGCACUAGGUAGAGAAGAAGGAAUUAGAUUAUAAGGCUAUAAUAGAUAACCACCCUAUUGAUUUUACUAGAGCCAAGAGCACAGCUGGGCCCUUAGGACCAAUUCUUACUAUGGCCGAGUGUCAAAAUUAGACUGAUGAAAUCAUGUCUAGAACAUACAAUUUUUAGAUGUUGUACAUGAGGCUUGGGGGAAGAGCAACCACAGAUGAAGAGAUUCAUGUUGUUGACUUGGAUUACCCGCUCGGUCAUCACGCCAAGACAUUGCUGAGGAUUGGACCAGAGUUUAUGGAACCGACAGAUAAUGAUAUACCUACCAAUGAAGACAGACAGUGGCAUGACUUAAAUAUUGAGUCUAAUAUUGAUGAUUAGUCUGAGGAUGUUGAUGGACAGGAUGAUAUUGAUGCAUCUAAUAAUGGUGAUGCAACACAAGUUGACAUGGCUGAUGCCUAGGUUUGCACAUACAAAGAUAGUGCUCUUCCUACGUGUGGGGUGGUCUUGCACCCUCUUCCCUUUUCCUUUUGUCUCUUGAUGUGUGAGAAAAAUCUAACAUAUUUAAUGCUUUUUAGCUCAAAAUAAUUGUGAAUUCUGAAGCAACUCUUGUCGUUUUGAUGUGUUUUCUCAUGAUAUUGCAGUAAAAGGCUGAAGGAAUGGAAAUAAACGAUAAUGGAGAAAAAAAGUUGAAAAUCUGAGCAAAAGAGAAGAAAACAUGACUGACGACAUCCGUGAUAAGUCGUCAGCCUUGUGAUAGACUAUCAGAAGCGGCGUCAGCCUUAACUAGGGACUUGAGUCUGAGAGAAAGUUCUGACAACAUUGGUAAUAAGGCGUCAAGAUAGUGAUAAGGCAUUACAAAUGUCGUCAGCCUUAGCCAGAGAAUCAGAGCUCAAAGAAGAAAUCUGGCGACGCUGGUGAUAUGCCGUCAGAUCAAUGACACGACAUCAGCUACAUCGUUAGCCUAAGAUAGAUUUUGAAGACAGCUGGAGCAACCCUGAUGCCAUCCAUGAUAAGGCAUCAGAUCCUUGACAUGGUGUCAUCUAGUGCGUCACCUAAUCCGAAGAACUUAUGAUUUUUGUUAUUUUAUUUCCAUAAUUAGACUUAAGUAUAAAUAACAUCUUUUAGGGUUUAUUGAGGAGUUCGGUUCUUUUUAGAGAGCAGAUUAUUUUUUAUCCUAAGACUUAGAGAAAAAAACAUUAUUCUUCAUUGUUUCUUUUCCUCAACACUUAUCAAUUAUUGUAGAUUUCUCUUUCGUGAUUGAAUUGAAGAAACAACUUGUUGCUUUUCAUCUGUUCGUAAG